rnacentral:lncRNA from 1 species
UUCUGAAGGGGUUGCUAUUUUUUGCAAGGUCAAGUCUGGGUCAAGUCUGGCUUCCUGAAACUAUAGCCUGGUGUUCCAUCCUAUAGAAAGGGGGAAAGAGAAAAUGGAUGUCAAGCAUAUAUUUCCAAGCAGAGAAGAGACUGGGAAAUGGAUGAAGGUGAAACCCUGUCAGAACAAAAGAGAUGAUCCUGCCAAUUGACAUAAACCAAAACAAAUGCUAAAUCCGUGUGGCUCUUCAGCCCCAUCUUACACAUACCUCCUGAAUCAAGAGAAAG